rnacentral:rRNA from 1 species
GGCUUCUUGGUGAUUCAUGAUAACUUCACGGAUCGCAUGGCCUUGCGCCGGCGACGGUUCAUUCAAAUUUCUGCCCUAUCAACUUUCGAUGGUAAGGUAUUGGCUUACCAUGGUUUCAACGGGUAACGGGGAAUUAGGGUUCGAUUCCGGAGAGGGAGCCUGAGAAACGGCUACCACAUCCAAGGAAGGCAGCAGGCGCGCAAAUUACCCAAUCCCGACACGGGGAGGUAGUGACAAUAAAUACUGAUACAGGGCUCUUUUGGGUCUUGUAAUUGGAAUGAGUACAAUUUAAACCUCUUAACGAGGAACAAUUGGAGGGCAAGUCUGGUGCCAGCAGCCGCGGUAAUUCCAGCUCCAAUAGCGUAUAUUAAAGUUGUUGCAGUUAAAAAGCUCGUAGUUGAAACUUGGGCCUGGCUGGCAGGUCCGCCUCACCGCGUGUACUUGUCCGGCCGGGCCUUUCCUUCUGGAGAACCUCAUGCCCUUCACUGGGUGUGUUGGGGAACCAGGACUUUUACUUUGAAAAAAUUAGAGUGUUCAAAGCAGGCCUUUGCUCGAAUACGUUAGCAUGGAAUAAUAGAAUAGGACGUGCGGUCCUAUUUUGUUGGUUUCUAGGACCGCCGUAAUGAUUAAUAGGGACAGUCGGGGGCAUCAGUAUUCAAUUGUCAGAGGUGAAAUUCUUGGAUUUAUUGAAGACUAACUACUGCGAAAGCAUUUGCCAAGGAUGUUUUCAUUAAUCAAUGAACGAAAGUUAG